GAGAAUCUAACUUCAGGACGGGGACAACAGUUGGAAACGACUGCUAAUACCCGAUGUGCCGCAAGGUGAAACCUAAUUGGCCUGGAGAAGAGCUUGCGUCUGAUUAGCUAGUUGGUGGGGUAAAGGCCUACCAAGGCGACGAUCAGUAUCUGGUUUGAGAGGAUGAGCAGCCACACUGGGACUGAGACACGGCCCAUACUCCUACGGGAGGCAGCAGUGGGGAAUUUUCCGCAAUGGGCGAAAGCCUGACGGAGCAACGCCGCGUGAGGGAGGAAGGUCUUUGGAUUGUAAACCUCUUUUCUCAAGGAAGAAGUUCUGACGGUACUUGAGGAAUCAGCCUCGGCUAACUCCGUGCCAUCAGCCGCGGUAAUACGGGGGAGGCAAGCGUUAUCCGGAAUUAUUGGGCGUAAAGCGUCCGCUGGUGGUCAGCCAAUUCUGCCGUCAAAUCAGGUUGCUUAACGACCUAAAGGCGGUGGAAACUGGCAGACUAGAGAGCAGUAGGGGUAGCAGGAAUUCCCAGUGUAGCGGUGAAAUGCGUAGAGAUUGGGAAGAACAUCGGUGGCGAAAGCGUGCUACUGGGCUG
rnacentral:rRNA from 1 species